GUGGUAGUUCCGAUUGGCGUAAUCCCGAGUCUGUGACACAGUCAACAACUCUCCUUGUAAAUAACGUUAAAUGCUUUACAAGGAUACAGGAAAACUAGAGGAUACAGGACUACAAAAUAAUAUACCAGAACUGUGUGGGCAGGAUAAAUGAAUUGUCGAGCUUGCUCCGCCAUCUCCCAGCUUUGUCUCAGCAGUGCCCACACCGGAAAGCUGGGUAUCAUCUUGAAUGCUGUUACUCCCUCAAAGCUCACAUCUAAACAAUAAAUUACUCUAAGACAAAAUCUGACCACUUUGCAAUCCUGCUUAAAAUCUUCAUUGGAUCCUCAUUAUAUAGAAGAUAAAGUCUAAGGUGCUCACAAGACAUUCAAGACUUUUCAUGAUCUGAUCAUUGUGGGGAGCAUCUUGGACUAGACUAAGUUACUGGAAUUAAGACUUAUUCUAUGCAUCUGCUCUCGCACAAUAUGGCACUGGGAGAGGAGGCAACAGCUUCUACCCAGCUGCCUCUCACCAACUUGACAAGCUGCAGGACCUGCUCCUGAUUGGAGGAGAGCAGCGUACUCGGCGUGUGGGUAGCAGAGUUGGGAUUGGUGGAAGAGGACUAUAAAGGAGGAGAGAGACAACAUGCACCAGGAACAUCUAAGGGGAACACCUGAGGAACACCUGUGCAGCCCCCGAGAGAGCCGGCCGGCGGUGUGCCGCUCCCCCGCAGAAGUGGGGAAUGUGGCAGGGGGAACCGCCCUUCCACGGAGGUGGAAGGGACGGUAGCCAACCCGGGAAGAACCAGCAGCAAACCCGGGGAGGGCCGAGCAGACGAAAGAACAGCGCAGGGUCCUGUGUCGUUCCUCCACGAAGACGGGGAGCGACAAUCAUUCUCUACCUCUCCUGCUUCAAAUUUUGCUUUCCCCAUCACAUACCCUAUGUUUAAGCCUGUUCCUGUAUGGUGGCUGUGAUGGUUUUGUGUCAACUUCACUAUGCUACAGGGUGCCUACAUUGAACAUCAAUUUUGGGUGUGUCUGUAAAGAUGUUUCUGAAUGAAAUUAGUAUUUUAAUUGGUGGACUCAGUAAAGUGAGUGAGCAUCAUUUACUCCAUUGAGAGAGGACCUGAACAGAACAAAAGGAGGAAGAGGAGGAAUUUGCCCCCCCUUCCGUAUCACUGCUUCAUUUGGGACAUCUUAGCUCAUCUUCUGCAUUUGGGCUGGGAUUUAUACAUGUGGCUCAAUAGUGUGGUGUUCCUUGCAGGUUUUUGUAGAAGCACUUUUGUCAGGCUAAGGAAUAUACUUUUUUUCUGUUAUAUUUAUCUUCAUUAUUCCUCAGUACUUCCUUUCCUUUGUUAUUAAUUUCUUUUUCUUUUUGUAAGAUUCCUAUUGUCUAGAUAUCAGUACAUUGGUACAUCAAAUUCAAUUGCUGACAUCCCUUAGGUUUUCUUUAGAUUUUAUUUAUUUAUUUAUUUGAAAGUCAGAGUUACACAGAGAGAGGAGAGGCAGAGCGAGAGAGAGAGAGAGAGGUCUUCCAUCCGCUGGUUUACUCCCCAAUCGAGCACAAAGGCUGGAGCUGCGCCAAUCCAAAGCCAGGAGCCAGGAGCUUCUUCUGGGUCUCCCACUUGGGUGCAGGGGCCCAAGGACUUGGGCCAUCCCUCCACUGCUUUCCCAGGCCAUAGCAGAGAGCUGGAUCAGAAGUGGAGCAGCCAGGACUAGAACCGACGCCCAUAUGGGAUGCUGGCACUUCAGGCCAGCGCAUUACCCCACUGCGCCACAGCACCAGGCCCAGGUUUGGUUUUAUAUAUAUGUGUAUUUGGUCUCUCUCUCUCGCUCUCUCCUUUUUUUAUUUUUUUGCAUUCUAGGAGAAUUCCUCAUUCUUAUCUUCCAAUUCACAGAUUGACUUUUUUUAGUUGUUUGCAUUAUCCCAUUUAUCUUGAUCUUCAUUAUUUUCAUAUUAUUUCAAAGGCAGAGAAAGAAGGAGAGAGACACAAAGAGAGAUAAAGAGACCAAGAGAGAUAUUUGAUCAGUUUGUUUACUUCCCAAAUACCCCAACAGCGGGGGCUGGACCAGGCCAAAACUAGGAGCCUGGAACUGAAACCAGGUUUCCAACUUGAGUGAGAAAGACCUAAGUACUUGUACCAUUAUCUACUAUCUUCCAUGUUAUGCAUUAGCAGGAAGCUAGAAUAAGUGGAGCUGGGAUAAACCCAAGUGUCUCAAACAGUGCCAAAUGCCUGCCGGAAUCUUUAUCUUUUAUGCGAUCUUUCAUUUCGUUCUUUUUAUGUUGUAUUACUUUUGUAUCAUAUUGCUAACAUCCUCUCUUACGUGUUAUUGUAUAUCUAUUAUGCUUAUUUUAAAUUCGUGGUAUUCCUAAUUUUAGUAGUUAUGCUUCUAGUAGAGUCUGAAAUCUAGAUUUUCUUUUGGAAUACCUAUGCUUCUUCUUUAUAUUGUUGGCCUGUGAGCCUAUAUUAUAUCUAGGUUGCUUCAAAAUGGCCAAAGUCAAGACCUGUGUCAGCUACAAGGUGGUGGGUAAGUAGAAGGGGGUGUAAUGACCCCAAGGGUGAAGAGCUUAUAAAUCACUAGAAGUCUGAUUAUCAUUCUUACCCACUAUGACACCUCCUCAAUUCAAAGCUUUAUCUUCAACCUUCCAGGAAGAAGUCUUAGAAUAAAAUACACAUAAUAUUGUAUUCUACUGACUUUAAAGUUAACUUACUUUCACAGAGAUUCUGUGCUUCGUUGAUUUUACUUUCAACACUACCUGUGCCAGAAGUAUGAGUUAUUUAUUUUAAAUACAACUAUAUGUUUAUUGAAACUUGUUAUAUUAUUUUGAAAUGUUAUUUGUUUGAAGAGGAGAGGGAUAGAGAGAGAGAGAGAGAGAGAGAGAGAGAGAGAGAGAGAUUCCAUCUGCUGGUUCACUCUCCAAAUGUCUGCAACAACUGAGCCAGCCCGAAGCCAGGAGCCAAGAGCUCCAUCUGGAUCUCCCAUAUGGAUGGCAGAGACCCAAAUACUUGAGCCAUCAUCUGCUGCCUCCCAGGGUACACAUUAGCAGGAAGCUGAAUCAGAAGAAAAGAUGGGACUCAGUUCCAGGCAUUCCCAUAUAAGAUAUUGGUGUGCCAAGCAGUAGCUUAACUGGCUGUGCCACAACGCUUUCCCUGAAACUUAUUUUAAACCAAGUCAGAGAAGAUACUCCUAAAGUUAGAGCAGUAAAUUAUAAAACUUCCUCCCUCUGGAAGUAAGCUCUCUCACUGCAACUUUGGCAGUUUUCUCAACUUCCCUAUUUUUAUACUCCAAUAUUGAACCUUAAAAAGCUUUUUAGUUAUAAGGAAGGAAAUUGUAAUUUACAACUGCCUUCUAGGAAGUAUAGAUCUUGUUAAAUAAAAAUGAAACAAGGUAUUUUUUCUGACCUCAUUGAUAGCUUUGGAUACGCAAAGGUCAGAAUGGAGUGGAUUUUGGGAGUAAAAGCCAGGGAUCUUUAAGAAAGGUGCUCACCUGUGGAACAAUAAAUUUUUGUUAGAGAUGUGGGAUCAUGUAGAAAUCCAGGAGGUUCUAUUCAAAUCACAUAGUUGGAUUCACGCGAAGGACAGUGGUACUAGACAAACAAAACACUAGAUAUUCACUACAGCUGAAUUGCUUGUUCUUCUUCUUCUUCUUUUUUUUUUUUUUUUGAUAAGCAGAGUUAGACAGUGAGAGAGAGAGAGACAGAGAGAAAGGUCUUCCUUCCAUUGGUUCACCCCCCAAAUGGCUGCUAUGGCCAGCGCGCUGCGGCUGGCGCUCUGCGCCAAUCUGAAGUCAGGAGCCAGGUGCCUCCUCCUGGUCUCCCAUGCAGGUGCAGGGCCCAAGGACUUGGGCCAUCCUCCACUGCCUUCCCGGGCCACAGCAGAGAGCAGGACUGGAAGAGGAGCAACCGGGACAGAAUCCAGCACCCCAACCAGGACUAGAACCCGGUGUGCCGGCGCCGCAGGCAGAGGAUUAGCCAAGUGAGCCGUGGUGCUGGCUGUUCUUCAUUCUUGAUUACUUCAUUUUUUAUUGGGGUGUUUGUCUUAUGCAUUUGUGAGAAAUUGUGCAUGCGUUUAUCCUGUAUGCACAAAUGUCUAUUUAGGGUAUUGUUAAUAUUUUA